UUUUUUUUUUUUUUUUUUUUUUUUUGACUUUUUAGGGCGGUAGCCGUGGCACAUGGAGGUUCUCAGGCUAGGGGUCUAAUUGGAGCUGUAGCCACCAGUCUGCACCACAGCCACAGCAACACCAGACCUGAGCCGCGUGUGCGACCUACACCACAGCUCAUGGCAAUGCCAGAUCCUUAACCCACUGGGCAAGGCUAGGGACCAAAUCUGCAUCCUCAAAGAUGCUAGUUAGAUUCACUUCCACUGAGCCACGAUGGGAACUCCCAAGAUACUACAAGAGCAACUUUCAAUAAAAAAAAAGUCUGGGGCCCAGGUGGACUUUAGAUGACAUCUAUUGUCUUCAAUAAACAUAAUUUAAUUCUGUUCAUACAGCCCCAAAGGAUUUAAAAGCAUAUAAAUUACAACUUUACUUUAUAAAACCAGCUUAUUAGUCCUGCUACUAACACCUAAAACAGCACAUAGAAUAUAUGCAAUUUUUAAUAUGAGAGAUUCAAAAUUUUUUUUUGAGAUUUAAUAAUGAAACUUGCACAAACCGAACCCAAAGCUAGAACUACAAACAUCUCAAUGAGGUAGUUUAUCAACUCAACAAUGCAAAAGCUAAUAAAAUUCAAAAUAUUUUUUCUUUCAAAAUAAAAAAGCAAAAAAGGCAUCUAAAGAAAGUUCACGGUCAGUUACUGAUUAACAGCAGGGCAAAGAUCUGAUCGUAACCUUGCAACAGAAGGACUCUUUCCUAAAAGUCUGCCACUCUGAAACCAACAACUCAUCUCAUACAUUAGUUGUAUAUAAGACAAAAGCAAUCAUUAUUACCAACUGUUCUGGAAGUCAGUAAAAUUAAAAGCAAAGCAUAAAUAUUAAAAGUGACAAAACUCUGACGAGUGGUACCUGAGAUGCCUAUCCUAGAAGAUGCAAAAGAAUCAAAAAAGGAGCAGCUGUGUUAGAAAAAAAUCAUACACAAAAAGCAAAAGACUUCACAGAUGCCAGCAACAAUUCAUUAGAAAAUAAACCUUAAAUGGUUCCACAACAGAAAAAAUGACUACAAAUGACUAGGAAUAAACUUUAACAACAAUUACACAAAUUUAUUACGGAAAUACCACAUUGUAAAAUACUGAAUUUAACUCAAUUUCAAUAAAAGGACCAAUUACUCAUUUUUAUUUUCUUUUGCUAAAAGGACGCAUGACAAUAUAAUUCUAAAAUUCACCUUGAAGAAAGUAUCAGCUAAACAUUUCUGGAAAUAAACACUGGUCCUUCUAGACAUUAAUAUGACCUCUUGUACUGUAGGAACAGACAGACAAGUACACCUAAUAUUCACUAGAAAACACAUUCUAAAUCAAAGCGAAUAAUUAUGAAAACAUUUUAAAACAGUGGAAAAAAAAAAAAAAAGGCAAAAUAGUACUGGGACAAAUGCAUAACCCCAAAAGGAGACUGGGAAUUAUACCAAAAAUAAAACUAUUAAAAAAAAUGACAAAUUUCACUAAAUAAAAAUCUUAGAAUCAUAUACAUAAUAAAUAUGAAACAGAGGUAAAAUGCAAAUGACAAGCUGAAGAAACAUAUUUGCAACACAGAACAGAUUUUCUUAAUAUAAAACCAUCUUACAAAUGGUACCAAAAAAGACAAAUACCAUAGGAGAAAAUGAAAAAUAAAAUGAACUGUCGAUACACAAAAGAAUGCCUAAGUAUUUAAUCUCACUAUUAUUCAAAAUACACAAAUAAAGCAAUGUACCACUUUUAACUAAAGGGAAAAGAUUUCAAAAGAAAAACUAUACAGUAUUAACAGAGGUGUGACGUAAACUGUUAUAUCGUGCCAGGAGUAAAUCGGUCUAUUUACAAAACAUAAUUUUAAUAUGCACCCGAAGCUUUGAAAAAUCAUGUAUCUUUUAUGCAACAAGGGCUUUUAUAGAUAUUUAACCAAAAGAAAUAAAAACAGAAAAUAGGAGUUCCCUCAUGGGCGCAGUGGUUAACGAAUCCGACUAGGAACCAUGAGGUUGUGGGUUCGAUCCCUGCCCUUGCUCAGUGGGUUAAAGAUCCGGCGUUGCCGUGAGCUGUGGUGUAGGUUGCAGACGCGGCUCGGAUCCCGCGUUGCUGUGGCUCUGGCGUAGGCCGGUGGCUACAGCUCCGAUUCAACCCCUAGCCUGGGAACCUCCAUAUGCCGCGGGGGCGGCCCAAGAAAAAGCAACAACAACAACAAAAAACAAAAGACAAAAGAUAAAAAAAAAAAAAAAAAAAAAAAAAGAAAAUAUUUAACUAAAAGCAUAUUCACUAAAAUCAAUAUAAUAAAAUACUUAAACACAUUAGACAAAAAAACCCAAACCAAACAAAUGUACCAUAAUAGGUACAUCUAUACCAUACCACACACUUUGAAAAAUAUUAAAGAGGUACAAUGUUGAUUUGGAAAUGUAUUGAUAUUAAGUUAAAGUAGAUUAUUAAAGAUUAUGUAUUUGAUACCUCUAUCUCACUACUUUUAAUGGCAUUAAGUUACAUAGUUACACAAGAGGCAUCGAGAGUUGCAGAGCCCAAUACAGUAGCUACUAUAGCUACAUGUGGCUACUGAACACCUGAAACGCAGCUAGUCCGAACGUGCCUUAAGUAUAAAGCAUAUACACUGGGAAUGCCCACCAUGGCUCAGAGCUAACGACCCCGACUAGUUUCCAUGAGGAUGCGGGUUCUUCCCUGGCCUCACUCAGUGCAUUAAGGAUCCAGCAUAGCCGUGAGCUGUGGUGUAGGCUGCAGACGUGGCUCGGAUCCCACAUUGCUGUGGCUGUGACAAAGGCCAGCAGCUAGCACUCUGAUGUGAUCCCCAGCCUGGGAACGUCCAUAUGCUGCCAGUGAGGCUCUAAAAAGACAAACAACAACAAAAACACUGGAUUUCAAACAGCAACUAAAAACAAAACAUACUUCAAUAAUUAUACUGGUUACAUACAGAAAUAACCUAUCAAUAUAUUUAAAUAUUAUUAAAAUUAACAGACCUUAAAAAAUGAGACUAACAUUAUUUUAUUUUACUUAUUUAUUUAGUCUUUUUAGGGCUGCACCCCAUGGCAUAUGGAGGUUCCCAGGCUAGGGGCUGAAUCAGAACUGGAGCUGCCAGCCUGCGCCAGAGCCACAACGACGACUGUGACCCACACCACAGCUCACGGCAACGCCAGAUCCUUAACCCACUGAGCGAGCUGCAGUGUAGGCUGCAGAUGUGGCUCGGAUCCAGUCUUGCUGUGGCUGUUGUAAAGGCCUCGGCUGCAGCUCAGAUUCAACCUCUAGCCUGAAAACUUCUAUAUGCCACAGGCACAGCCAGAAAAAUUUAAAAGGGGCAGGGGUGGGGGCAGAAAUCUAUACAUGAAAAGAUGGAUACAUUCUUAGGCAGUAAGGCCGAACGUGGGAAAGACAUCAAUUUUCCCCAAGUAAUUUAUAAAAUGAAGCUCAAUUUUUAAGAAAUACUUUCUUUCCUACACUUAGAUAAGCUGAUAUUAUAUCCACACAGAAAAUAAGUAAGAUUAGCCAUGAAAACACCUGCAAGAGAAAGGCAGGGUGGGCACUACACUCUACCGCCCUAGAUAAUUUAAGACAAAAGAGUGAAUGUCUAUAAUUAGAAAUGUGAUACUAGUAAAAGAACAUGAAAUAAAAGCAAAAUCCAGAAUAUAGCCAGGCGCACAGAGAUUUUAGUGGAUGAUAAAGAUGACAAAUCAAUUCGUGGGAGGACGGACACAUCACUGGUGCAACUGAACAGCCAGACAGAACAGUUAAAACUGGUCUGUCCCUCACGGUUUAUGCCAGCAGAAAAAGCAAACGAACCAGCUCUAAGUAUAAAAACUUAAACCGGAGUUCCUACUGUGGCCCAGUGGACUAAGAAUCUGACUGCAGUGGCUCAGGUUGCUGCAGAGCUGACGGUUUGAUUCCCAGGCCAGUGCAAUGGGUUAAAGGAUUCAAUCUCUGGCCAAAGAACUUCUAUACACUGAGGGCACGACUAUAAAAAUAAUAAAAACCACGGAAGUAUUUUUUUAAUGAAUUCCUUAAUAACCUCAGAGUGGGGAAAACUUUACUAACCAGGAAUCAAACCAAGAUGUAAGAAGGGGAAAGAUUUUGAUAAUGUGACUAUUUAAAAAUAAAAUUCAUUGCAUAGCUGAAAAUACUGUAAGCAAAUUCAGAAAAAUUAGCAAAAUAGCAAAAAAAUCAUUAGUAACUCAUAUUCCAUAUAAAUUAGUCUCUCCAAAUGGAAAAGAAAAACAUUAACAACUGUAGAGAAAAGUGAGCAAAAGACAGAACUCUCUCUCUCUCUCUCUCCCACACACACCAAGUAGCAGCCAAAUGCCCUUAAAUCAAUGGAAAGUUGCUUAGCCUUGCUCAUAAUAAAAAUUUACUUCUUAAACUGAAAACUUCACCACAAUAACAAACUGACAACAAUCCACAAGUAUGACCCAAGACUCUAACGGCAAAGCUGCGCAGAUGGCAUUUGGUACUAUCCAGCUUAAUUGCACCUAACAUUUCCCUUCCCUGUGACCUAACAGCCCAAUUCGAGGUGCCUGUCUCAAAAAUUCAGUGACAAAAAUAUAAGAUGAUAUAGGCAGAGAGCUAUUCAAAGCAGCAUUACUUCUAAUAGCAAAAGACUGAAAACAAUGCAAACAUCUGUUAGGCAACUAUGUGAAAAAAUGAUGAUACAGCCACACGGUGGAAUACAGUGCAGCCAUAUCCAUUCACUGAUAAAGAGUAAUUUUCAGGAUAUAUAAUUAAAUGAAAAGAACCAGGCACAAUACAGCAGUUAUUAAUAUGAUACCUUUUAUAUAAAAAGGGGACAGUGAAUACAUACCAAAGAAAAACUGAAAGCAAGAACUAAACAAAACCAGUUGGCCCUGCAUGAGGGAGGGAAUUGGAAAAAGAGGAACAGAAGUGAGACUAUUCUGAACAUACCCUGUUUUACAGUUUUAAGACCAUGUGAAUGUUUUACAUGCUUAGUACACAUCAUUAAGAGUUUCUAUUGUAGCUCAGCUGUAGCAAACCCAACUAGUAACCAUGAGAUGCAGGUUUGAUCCUUGGCCUUGCUCGGUGGUAUCCAGCGUUGCUGUGACCAGAUGUGGCUCGGAUCUUCAGCUGCUGUGGCUGUGGCUGCAGGCUGGCAGCUGCAGCUCUGAUUGGACCCCUAGCUUGGGAACUUCCAAAUGCCACAGGUGCAGCCCUAAAAAAAAGAAAAGAAUAUUAUACACACACACACACACCAUUAAACAAAAGGGUUAAAAAAAAAGGGUCUGAAAAUUAAAAACAGAUGAACCUCGAUGUGUAUCAACCUGUCCAUAUUACAGC
rnacentral:lncRNA from 1 species